rnacentral:rRNA from 1 species
AAUGAACGUUGGCGGCGUGGAUUAGGCAUGCAAGUCGAGCGAGAAGCCUCCUUCGGGAGGUGGACAGCGGCAAACGGGGUAGUAAGGCGUCGGUACGCACCCCCAGGACCGGGAUAGCCGUGGGAAACUGCGGGUAAUACCGGAUAAUAUCUCCGGAUCAAAUGGUGAGAUUCCGCCUGGGGACCGGCUGACGUGAUACCAGCUUGUUGGUGAGGUAACGGCUUACCAAGGCGAAGACGUCUAGGGGGUGUGAGAGCAUGGCCCCCACCACUGGGACUGAGACACUGCCCAGACACCUACGGGUGGCUGCAGUCGAGAAUCUUCGGCAAUGGGCAAAGCCUGACCGAGCGACGCCGCGUGCGGGAUGACGGCCCUUGGG